rnacentral:rRNA from 1 species
GACGAACGCUGGCGGCGUGCUUAACACAUGCAAGUCGAACGGAAAGGCCCUGCUUUUGUGGGGUGCUCGAGUGGCGAACGGGUGAGUAACACGUGAGUAACCUGCCCUUGACUUUGGGAUAACUUCAGGAAACUGGGGCUAAUACCGGAUAGGAGCUCCUGCUGCAUGGUGGGGGUUGGAAAGUUUCGGCGUUUGGGGAUGGACUCGCGGCUUAUCAGCUUGUUUGUGGGGUAGUGGCUUACCAAGGCUUUGACGGGUAGCCGGCCUGAGAGGGUGACCGGCCACAUUGGGACUGAGAUACGGCCCAGACUGCUACGGGAGGCAGCAGUGGGGAAUAUUGCACAAUGGGCGGAAGUCUGAGGCAGAAACGCCGCGUGCGGGAUGACGGGCUUCGGGGUGUAAACAGAUUUCGAAUGAGACGAAGAGUGAGUGACGGUAAUGGGUAAAGAAGCACCGGCUAACUACGUG